UGUUAGGAGUUUCGUAAUUUCACACUUGAGAUCAGAAGCGCUUGCUGUAGAAUUGGUCGCACCAGAGGACCGAUCUCGCCACAUCAUGUUUUGUUUUCUGCUAAGCUAUAAAUUUGAAAAUUCCAAGUAGAGUUUUUAUAAAAACAAACAUUAUUGUCAGUCGACUAUUCCCGAAAAGGGGGGACGUUGGAAGAAACUUUCAUUUCUCUUCUGUAUAGGAAGUGAUUUAUCUGUUGAGAAAUAUUACGUCCGUGAAAUAUAUUGAGUGACAAAAGAUUCAGCUGGCUGCAGACGACCGGAAAAGUGUAUAAAGCAUUAAAACAUUACUUGCCCCUCUGUUACCACAGUUCAUCGACGGAUGUGACAAAUGGAUGUUCCUGUAAAUGGACCCCUCCCUAGCAUUUAAGCUUUCUUUAGACAUUAUAUUUGGAAGCUAACAACUUCCUAGUUAAAUAGGCGGAACAAGAUAUUGCUUCGGGAGUGACAAUUUUUAAAUGCAGCAAAUUAUCAGGAAUAAAAAGCGAAUAAUCGGAAAAUUAUUAAUACAAUUACUAAAAGAAAAUGAGUUUUAUCAGCCAGUAAGAGUAAAAAAUCUAGUUCACAUUUUAAUUAGAUGAACUCAGGAAAACUGCAGAUCCAGAAAAACUUAGAAAACAACUAAAAGAUAGACAGACAGAUUGGAGACAACAAGAAUAUUUUAAGCCAUCCUGGGGAGAGAAUUCUUCAAAAUUAUGACGGCACUAGGCAAAAUCAUUCGAUCAUCUAUAAGUUGCCUACAGCUGAUGUCACGACCUAUGCAGUCCUGCUCUUGUUACCACAAUAAAACUUGUGGAUUUGUUCUGA